rnacentral:misc_RNA from 1 species
GCUUCCCUCCAUUCUUACAUAUGGUAUGGAUGCCUUUAUAUUUUCCCUCUCUCUAUCACUUGUGCUUCUUGUUAUUUUUGGUUCAUAUAUCUUAUACAGAUGCUAUUUUUUAUACGUGGAUUGGACCCUCCUUGGCACUUGCUUCUUGGUGCUAUUCAUAGUUGAAAUGCAGUUUACACACACACAAAUAUCCUAGCUUAUCUGAUUGAAAUGAUACUAAACCUUCCUGAAUAUGGUUUUAGAGACUCUUGAUUUUGUUUAUUUUCUG